rnacentral:tRNA from 1 species
GGUUUUAUAGUUUAAUAAAAAUAUUAAAUUGCAAAUUUAAAGAUAAAAUAUUUUUAAAACCU